UCCUUGCCGGCUCCAGUUAACCUUGCCUGCCUGCCUGCCUGCAAACCUGGACUCCUCCUCCAUAUUACCCUCUGGAGAGCACAAUGUCCACUGGUGGGUGUGAUCACUGGCGCCCCAGUCAGCACACCUGCAGCUCAUCUGCAGUAAUCAGCACACCCAUAUAUAUCCAGACCAACCUUCCAGACAACGAUAGAUCGUUGAAUCAGUCACAACAACCAAACCCGAGCCUGAACCCUGCCGACCUGCCAGCAUUGCCGACCUGAACCCUGAGCCUGAGCCUGAGUCGCACCACCUCUCUCCAGCUUCUCGGAAAACACCUGCCAGGCUAAACGCUACUUGCUUUGGUGCUUUCAAUAAAUUCACACAUGUUCUAACUUCA